rnacentral:lncRNA from 1 species
CACAACCAAUAGAACCAGCACGAGUUUGAAACACUUGCUGAAUUUAUUUAGUCUGGAUCAAGAGAAAGACAGAUACAUUAUUAAAUAGUAUUAUAAAGUAAGCAAAUAUAAAAACAUUUAAUUUUUUUUUUUAAGGAUGGCAGUGAGUUAAAGAUGCAUGUGGCAGGUAUAUUAUAAAUACAUGGUAUAGUUGAUCUAAAUUCUACAGUUAAAUCCAGUGUAUGGAUCCUUUCAACAUUUGGUGAAAAGGCAUUUUUUAUGGUUUCUGAAAGCACUGCAAAUAUUAAUCAGGAAAAGAGCAGUAGCGACCCAAACUAUUUGCCUAAUAGUGCUGCAUAUGUUUAUUUUGGCAUAUGUGUUGGAUAUAUUCAUGCAGGAUGUUAGCUUAACUUGAUAAAAUCUUAAGAGCUAUGUCUCUUUAUCGUAUAAUGUAUAAAUAUUCUGACAUGUCUUAACCAGAAUAAGAAGCACUUCACAGUGAAAUUGCUGAUGGGCUACUUUAAGAGAAAAGAGGAAGACUGGUUGCAGAUCCUAGUAGUUGCUUUUUUCAGUCAUCAGCUCAAGAUAUCAGGUGUUUGCUCUGACCCAAAGGAUAACGUUUAUCAUGCUCCGGUUCGGCCAGCACUUCAUCAAGCCCUCUGUGGUCUUCCUGAAGACCGAGCUCUCCUUUGCUCUCGUGAACCGCAAGCCAGUGGUCCCGGGCCGUAUCCUUCUGAGCAGUGCCUUCACCAUGGGCACCUGCGCUCCUGGGAGAAGCAGGGAAGCUCGGUGUGCUCCUCAGGCCAGGUAGGGUUCUGCGCGGAUUUAUUCUGAAGCCAGGCGGUGGAACCUAGCACGCUUGGUUGGUGAUGCAGAACUGCCGAAAACAGUUGCUUAGCAACUGUGACCUUAGAGGUGAAUUUCUAUUGACCUUUUCACCACAGAAGAUGUAUAAACAGCCAGGUGCUACUAAAAGCAUUUUAAAGUGUGUCUGAGGGGCUACUGUUUAAGUCCCAUAUUAUGCUAAAUAAAACAUCCUGCUUCCCUUUCA